rnacentral:lncRNA from 1 species
GUUCAAUAUAGUCAGUUCAUACACACAAAAAAUACUCCUCAAAUCUCGAUAUGAUGACGUUCUUUUCAAAGCUAGUUCUUCUGAUUUCCCUUAUGUUAAUCGCAACUGGUUUCUCUCUCUCUCUUUAGUAUUGGUGCUUAAUUUAUGCUAAAUAAAUAUGACAAUCCAGUUUUUAUUUUUUUAUUAUACUUUGAGUUGCUAUGAAAAUAAAAAUAAAAAUAAUUAUUGCAGGUCCAAUGGUGGAUGCAAAGAAACCACUUCCAAAUUGCGAUGUCACUGCAGAUUGCCUCCCAAUAUGUCAAAAAUUCCAUUGUGGAUUCUGUGCCUGCCUUAGUGGAAUCUGCGUUCGCGGCUGCCCCCCACCCUCACCCUCGAGGAAAAUACUCACUAUUUCAUCCCAGCAAUACAAAUAAUUGAUUAAUUUGUAAUAAUCCAACUUAUUUUAUGAUAAAUAAGUUGUUGUUUACAUCUAUAUAAAUAAUCAAUGAAAUAAAAGUUGAAA